rnacentral:rRNA from 1 species
ACAAUGUAGAGUUUGAUCCUGGCUCAGGAUGAACGCUAGCUACAGGCUUAACACAUGCAAGUCGAGGGGCAGCAUGUCGGUUGCUUGCAACCGAUGAUGGCGACCGGCGCACGGGUGAGUAACGCGUAUCCAACCUACCCUUGUCCAUCGGAUAACCCGUCGAAAGGCGGCCUAACACGAUAUGCGGUUCACCGCAGGCAUCUAAGGUGAACGAAAUGUGAAGGAGAAGGAUGGGGAUGCGUCUGAUUAGCUUGUUGGCGGGGUAACGGCCCACCAAGGCGACGAUCAGUAGGGGUUCUGAGAGGAAGGUCCCCCACAUUGGAACUGAGACACGGUCCAAACUCCUA